rnacentral:lncRNA from 1 species
CCUAUGCACCCAGCCUCUCCCCGAUCCGUCAGCCCCUGGCCACCCAGACUGCUUCUCAGUCCCUAUGGUUUGGCCUUUUCCACAAUGGCCUAAGAAUGGGAAUCCUACUUUGGUAGCUUAUUGGGUCUGGCUAGGGAGGACCAGCCUUGUUCUCCCCAUUCCCGUGUUGAAGGCCAUCCCCGAAGGCUCCGUGUGUCUGCCCAUCUUCUCCCCCAUUCCCCUAAGGCCACAGCCCCUAUGGUCCUCAUGCCUUUCCCCCUUCCCCAUGGGGACAGUGAGGGCUGUAGCUCUAGGGAAGUGGGGGAGAACAGGGGCAGUUGGGCCCCCAGAGACCUGCUGGACAACAUCCCUGAGGCUGGGCCAGGUGUCUCCUCACCCUGUGGCCACAACCCUUGGAUCUCACUGGGGUUGUCUCCUGGUAGACAGGGCCAGACCCUCAGGCUGCCCCGCUCCUUUUGUGCUCACUUGCCGACAGAACUGCUGAGAGCCCAGGGGCCUGACCUAGCCCCCUCUCCAUUCCCACCCACUCCCUAGAUGGGCCCCACACCUCUGGCCUAACAACAACCUCAGGCUGGACCUGCAGGGGAGCCAGGGAGGAGUUCUGACCC